ACGAAAAAAGCUGCAAAAUCCUCCCUCAAAAAGAGACAUUACGCUUUUUUUUGUGAUCUCCCUCCAGACUUCAGCAAAUUAAUUUUGGCUCUCUCUCCUUUUACUUCUCCUUCAUUCUUAUCUUUCGUCCUCUCCGAUUUUCGACCAUCUCUACGCUUUGUUCUCUAAAAUUGUAGUCUUCAUCUUCGUUUGACUGUGUUGUGCCCUAAGUCGAGCUUCUUUGCACAUUUUGCACCGAUUCAAGCAAUUCAUAAGAAACUAUAGCAUAGAAGACACUUAUAUAGUGUUGAGGAGCACCGUCGGCAAGAAGAAGAAGAAGAAGAGAUGUUUGGAAGAGGAAAGCGAAAGAACACGCAACCGAAGAAAAAAAAUCCAAAGCAUACUAUUGAAAAAGAAGUUCAUGGAGGAAAUUAAGCUUUUAGUGAUUUAUGGCUCUUUUGGUCGGUGUUGAAAGUGAGGUGCUCAACGCUGAUGGUUGAUUGGGUUUUCAGAAGCUGCUAAUUUAAGGUGAGGAUUUUCUUGAUUUUUGAUUUUCAUAAACCCUUACCCCUUCAUUUUUGGGUUUUUCUCUUGAUGUUGUAGGAGGGGUAGUUCGAGCUUAUGGCCAAUGAAGCUUAUGUAAGAAGGCAUCUUCCAUGGAAGUGUAGAAAGGGGAGUUGAAAGGACCUAAAGAUAUUGGUUGAUGUAGCAAGAAAAAUAGAGUUGCAGCAACGGAAGGAAAAACUUGAGGAAAAUGGAGUUGGCAGCUGUUGGAGAACAGAGUUGUUGAAGAAGAUCUUUGGUGUUUUGAAAGAGGACAAGCAAUUAAUCUAAUCUUUGAUGAGUUGGUUGUCGACAGAUCCGGAAGCUAGUUGUUGUGCUGUGGAAAGUACUGCUUUGAAAGCAAAUUUGGCACGACCAUGGUGCGAAUUGUUCUUGUCGUUUGCUUCCCAAGGUUAAGACAAUGCCUCCCUUUAAACAUGAACUCGUCGGACGGAGAGUUGGAAUCACAGCGAAAGAAGUGUUCGCUUAGAAUUGGAGGAGAAGAUCAGUGAAGAAGGGAAAAUUGAAACAGUGAUGCAAAGAACUAAUUUUCUAGAUUUGGGAACUCUGGUUUUGUAAAGCUAUCAAGAAAGAGGAGGCUAACGGUCAUAAACGUUUGGAAAAUAAUAAAUUUAGAUUUGGAAAAAUAAUUGCAUCAUUAAAAACCCAAAACAUU